rnacentral:rRNA from 1 species
UACGGAGGGCGCAAGCGUUACUCGGAAUCACUGGGCGUAAAGAGCGUGUAGGCGGGUUAAUAAGUCAGAUGUGAAAGCCAAUAGCUCAACUAUUGAACUGCAUUUGAAACUGUAAACCUAGAGUAUGGGAGAGGUAGAUGGAAUUUCUGGUGUAGGGGUAAAAUCCGUAGAGAUCAGAAGGAAUACCGAUUGCGAAGGCGAUCUACUGGAACAUUACUGACGCUGAGACGCGAAAGCGUGGGGAGCAAACAGG